rnacentral:SRP_RNA from 1 species
CCGGCAGGGGCGGGCGACACCAUGUCCCGAACCUGGUCAGGACCGGGAGGUAGCAGCCAUAAGGGGCCUCUGGUGGGCGCCCGUUCCCGCCUGGCA